rnacentral:rRNA from 1 species
UACAGAGGUGGCAAGCGUUGUUCGGAAUUACUGGGCGUAAAGGGCGCGUAGGCGGUCUUGUAAGUCCCGUGUGAAAUCCCUCGGCUCAACUGAGGAGCUGCACGGGAAACUGCUUGGCUUGAGUUCGGGAGAGGGAAGCGGAAUUCCGGGUGUAGCGGUGAAAUGCGUAGAUAUCCGGAGGAACACCAGUGGCGAAGGCGGCGAUCUGGGCAGAUACUGACGCUGAGAUGUGAAAGCGUGGGGAGCAAACAGG